GAUGAAGAACGCAGCGAAAUGCGAUAAGUAAUGUGAAUUGCAGAAUUCAGUGAAUCAUCGAAUCUUUGAACGCACAUUGCGCCCGCCAGUAUUCUGGCGGGCAUGCCUGUCUGAGCGUCAUUUCAACCCUCAUGCCCCUAGGGCGUGGUGUUGGGGAUCGGCCAAAGCCCGCGAGGGACGGCCGGCCCCUAAAUCUAGUGGCGGACCCGUCGUGGCCUCCUCUGCGAAGUAGUGAUAUUCCGCAUCGGAGAGCGAUGAGCCCCUGCAGUUAAACCCCCAACUUUCCAAGGUUGACCUCAGAUCAGGUAGGAAUACCCGCUGAACUUAAGCAUAUCAAUAAGCGGAGGA
rnacentral:misc_RNA from 1 species